GACGAACGCUGGCGGCGUGCCUAAUACAUGCAAGUCGAGCGAAGUGUUUCUGGUGCUUGCGCUAGCAAGACUUAGCGGCGAACGGGUGAGUAACACGUAAAGAACCUGCCUCAUAGACUUGGACAACUAUUGGAAACGAUAACUAAUACCGGAUAACAGUAUUUCUCGCAUGAGAUAUGUUUAAAAGUUGGUUAUGCUAACACUAUGAGAUGGCUUUGCGGUGCAGUAGCGAGUUGGUGGGGUAAAGGCCCACCAAGGCGACGAUGCAUAGCCGAGCUGAGAGGGUGAUCGGCCACACUGGAACGGAGACAGGGCCAAUACUCCUGAGGGAGGCAGCAGUAGGGAAUCUUCGGCAAUGGGCGAAAGCCUGACGGAGCAACGCCGAGUGAGUGAAGAAGGAUUUCGGUUCGUAAAGCUCUGUUGUUAGUGAAGAAUGGAUAUGUACUAACUAUACAUGUAAGAGACGGUACCUAAUCAGAAAGCCACGGCUAACUACGUG
rnacentral:rRNA from 1 species